rnacentral:rRNA from 1 species
AAUCGGCCACAUUGGGACUGAGACCACGGCCCAAACUCCUACGGGAGGCAGCAGUAGGGAAUCUUCCACAAUGGACGAAAGUCUGAUGGAGCAAUGCCGCGUGAGUGAAGAAGGGUUUCGGCUCGUAAAACUCUGUUGUUAAAGAAGAACACCUUUGAGAGUAACUGUUCAAGGGUUGACGGUAUUUAACCAGAAAGCCACGGCUAACUACGUGCCAGCAGCCGCGGUAAUACGUAGGUGGCAAGCGUUGUCCGGAUUUAUUGGGCGUAAAGCGAGCGCAGGCGGUUUUUUAAGUCUGAUGUGAAAGCCUUCGGCUUAACCGGAG